rnacentral:rRNA from 1 species
UCACACGGCGAGACCGCGGACGGCUCAUUAAAUCAGUCGUGGUCCAAAUGGGCCAGUGCAAAUCCUACUUGGAUAACUGUGGUAAUUCCAGAGCUAAUACAUGCAACUGAUAUCCCGAAGGCGGUGUUUGGGCUUGCUUGCCUUGCGCUGCGCUGCUCUGACGGAUGCUUUUAUUAGACCAAGCCGCUGAGGACUUGAGGGUUCGCGCUCUCUUGUCUGACUCGUGUGAUGGUGACUCUGGAUAACCAAAUUCUGACAAGCGCACGUACUUCUCUUCUGAGCGAGACGGCGCUGCCACUUUCGAGUGUCUGCCUUAUCAGCUAUCAACCGUUCGUUAUGCGCGACCGAUGGCUUUGACGGGUAACGGGGAAUCAGGGUUCGAUUCCGGAGAGGCAGCCUGAGAGACGGCUACCACGUCCAAGGACGGCAGCAGGCACGCAAAUUACCCAAUCCCAGCAAAUGGGGGAGGUAGUGACGAAAUCUAACGAUGCGGGCGCCCUUUCUGGGGCCCCGCAAUCGGAAUGGGCACUUUCUAAACAAC